GCUUUUGCGUGAAAAAUGUCAGGUCAAGGAACAAUGAAGAAAGCGGAGUAAGAUAGCUGGUCGAGAGUUUUCAGGAAACGUCAUCGGAAAGAGAACAAUAGCGUAAACAAACAAAUGCAAGUCUUCCAAACCAUUUCGGGCCGCAUUGUCCGUCGUACUGACAGAGGGUGCUUCCGAAGAGAUUCUGUCUGACCACUCGGAACUGUGCCACAAGGUUUGGCAUGUCAAGGGUUACUAUGAACACUACCACGCCGCAGAGCAGAGUGACACCGACAAUCCCGAUACCUUGAGCGGAAGUGCGACCGUCGUACGCACUUUUCUUCUUCCGGAGUGUCGAUGACAAGGUAGAUUUGUUCACAGAUAACUCUCGUAGCUUCUGGAGUUUAGUAUUAAGGUCAGCAGGGGUCGGGGUGGUCACUUUUGUUGGACAUGGACAUAGGCAUAAAGGUGACUGUAACAAAAAAAGACAAUGGUUAACAAAUAAAUGUUAACAAUUUCAGACGGCUGUUGUAUUUCUGUGUAUCAAACAAACGCUUCAGUUAGAACUUUUCCGAUUUGUCAUUUCGCUGAGUAAGAAAAAAGGACUAUAUUAAAUUUCUUAAAAAA